AUGGAGUUUAAACAAACAAAAAAAAUCUGUUCUUAUCACUUUAAUAUUUGAUAUGCCUCCCAGCUUGGGGCUUUCACAUUAAGUCCAUUUUUAGCACUGGGGCUGAGCUUUCAGGGGCUUGCUCUACUCAGUCCAUGCAUUGCACCGGUAUUGCAGUGUCUCCGAGAGCAGUGCACCAUCC
rnacentral:snRNA from 1 species